rnacentral:rRNA from 1 species
AGUCGAACGGAGAUACGCGCUGAAUGACGAAGCUUGCUUUUGAAUUCUUGCGUAUAUUAGUGGCGGACGGGUGAGUAACGCGUGAGCAACCUGCCUUUCAGAGGGGGAUAACGUUUGGAAACGAACGCUAAUACCGCAUGAGACUACGGUACUACAUGGUACAGUAGCCAAAGGAGCAAUCCGCUGAAAGAUGGGCUCGCGUCCGAUUAGAUAGUUGGCGGGGUAACGGCCCACCAAGUCGACGAUCGGUAGCCGGACUGAGAGGUUGAACGGCCACAUUGGGACUGAGACACGGCCCAGACUCCUACGGGAGGCAGCAGUGAGGGAUAUUGGUCAAUGGGGGAAACCCUGAACCAGCAACGCCGCGUGAGGGAAGACGGUUUUCGGAUUGUAAACCUCUGUCCUCUGUGAAGAUAAUGACGGUAGCAGAGGAGGAAGCUCCGGCUAACUACGUGCCAGCAGCCGCGGUAAUACGUAGGGAGCAAGCGUUGUCCGGAUUUACUGGGUGUAAAGGGUGCGUAGGCGGCCCUGCAAGUCAGAAGUGAAAUCCAUGGGCUUAACCCGUGAACCGCUUUUGAAACUGUAGGGCUUGAGUGAAGUAGAGGCAGGCGGAAUUCCCGGUGUAGCGGUGAAAUGCGUAGAGAUCGGGAGGAACACCAGUGGCGAAGGCGGCCUGCUGGGCUUUAACUGACGCUGAAGCACGAAAGCGUGGGUAGCAAACAGGAUUAGAUACCCUGGUAGUCCACGCCGUA